rnacentral:rRNA from 1 species
UAAACGACUCUCGGCAACGGAUAUCUCGGCUCUCGCAUCGAUGAAGAACGUAGCGAAAUGCGAUACUUGGUGUGAAUUGCAGAAUCCCGUGAACCAUCGAGUUUUUGAACGCAAGUUGCGCCCAAAGCCACUCGGCCGAGGGCACGUCUGCCUGGGCGUCACGUA